rnacentral:rRNA from 1 species
GGGUACACGAGCGGCGAACGGGUGAGUAACACGUGAGCAACCUGCCCCUGACUCCGGGAUAAGCGGUGGAAACGCCGUCUAAUACCGGAUACGACCCGCCACCUCAUGGUGGAGGGUGGAAAGUUUUUCGGUCAGGGAUGGGCUCGCGGCCUAUCAGCUUGUUGGUGGGGUAACGGCCUACCAAGGCGAUUACGGGUAGCCGGCCUGAGAGGGCGACCGGCCACACUGGGACUGAGACACGGCCCAGACUCCUGCGGGAGGCAGCAGUGGGGAAUAUUGCGCAAUGGGCGAAAGCCUGACGCAGCGACGCCGCGUGGGGGAUGACGGCCUUCGGGUUGUAAACCUCUUUUACCACCAACGCAGGCCCGGAGUUUUCUUCGGGUUGACGGUAGGUGGGGAAUAAGGACCGGCUAACUACGUGCCAGCAGCCGCRGUAAUACGUAGGGUCCGAGCGUUGUCCGGAAUUAUUGGGCGUAAAGAGCUCGUAGGCGGCGUGUCGCGUCUGCUGUGAAAGACCGGGGCUUAACUCCGGUUCUGCAGUGGAUACGGGCAUGCUAGAGGUAGGUAGGGGAGACUGGAAUUCCUGGUGUAGCGGUGAAAUGCGCAGAUAUCAGGAGGAACACCGGUGGCGAAGGCGGGUCUCUGGGCCUUACCUGACGCUGAGGAGCGAAAGCAUGGGGAGCGAACAGGAUUAGAUACCCUGGUAGUCCAUGCCGUAAACGUUGGGCGCUAGGUGUGGGGACUUUCCACGGUUUCCGCGCCGUAGCUAACGCAUUAAGCGCCCCGCCUGGGGAGUACGGCCGCAAGGCUAAAACUCAAAGGAAUUGACGGGGGCCCGCACAAGCGGCGGAGCAUGUUGCUUAAUUCGACGCAACGCGAAGAACCUUACCAAGGUUUGACAUCACCCGUGGACUCGCAGAGAUGUGAGGUCAUUUAGUUGGCGGGUGACAGGUGGUGCAUGGCUGUCGUCAGCUCGUGUCGUGAGAUGUUGGGUUAAGUCCCGCAACGAGCGCAACCCUUGUUCCAUGUUGCCAGCACGUAAUGGUGGGGACUCAUGGGAGACUGCCGGGGUCAACUCGGAGGAAGGUGGGGAUGACGUCAAGUCAUCAUGCCCCUUAUGUCUUGGGCUGCAAACAU